GUGAGGGAUAUAUCUUAAGAUCAAUUGAGUUUCCUCCUCCAUUGAUUUUAAAAGCUUAUAUAUGGUGGCAGCCUAGUAUAUUGAAUACUGAUGGGCUAAUGAUACUGGCAAUUUUCACAAAAAAGAGGAAGAUAUGAUCUUAAUUGGUGUCUUAAGGAGAGAAAUCGUUGUUAAUUAUCUCGAUCAAGCUUUAAUCAUUCCGUCUUUAAAACAGGGUAGUUCAUGCUUCAUUGUAGCAAUUAUUAAUUAUUAAGACGCGCAUCCAGGU
rnacentral:lncRNA from 1 species